ACUAGGUUGGCCGAGUGGUUAAGGCGCCAGACUUAAGAUCUGGUCUUUGUAUAAAGACGUGAGUUCAAUCCUCACACCUAGUA
rfam:Daphnia magna strain Xinb3 scaffold03394, whole genome shotgun sequence.